rnacentral:tRNA from 1 species
GAGGGUGGGGCUCAGCGGUAGAGCGCGCGCUUAGCACGCGUGAGGUCCUGGGUUCAAGCCCCAGUACCUCCG